rnacentral:rRNA from 1 species
UACAGAGGUCCCAAGCGUUGUUCGGAUUCAUUGGGCGUAAAGGGUGCGUAGGCGGCGCGGUAAGUCGGGUGUGAAAUCUCGGAGCUUAACUCCGAAACUGCAUUCGAUACUACCGUGCUUGAGGACUGGAGAGGAGACUGGAAUUUACGGUGUAGCGGUGAAAUGCGUAGAUAUCGUAAGGAAGACCAGUGGCGAAGGCGGGUCUCUGGACAGUUCCUGACGCUGAGGCACGAAGGUCAGGGGAGCAAACGGG